rnacentral:rRNA from 1 species
GUGGGGAAUAUUGGGCAAUGGGCGAAAGCCUGACCCAGCAACGCCGCGUGAAGGAAGAAGGUUUUCGGAUCGUAAACUUCUAUCCUUGGUGAAGAUAAUGACGGUAGCCAAGAAGGAAGCCCCGGCUAACUACGUGCCAGCAGCCGCGGUAAUACGUAGGGGGCAAGCGUUGUCCGGAAUGAUUGGGCGUAAAGGGCGCGUAGGCGGCCCGGUAAGUCUGAAGUGAAAGUCCUGCUUUUAAGGUGGGAAUUGCUUUGGAUACUGUCGGGCUUGAGUGCAGGAGAGGUAAGCGGAAUUCCCAGUGUAGCGGUGAAAUGCGUAGAGAUCGGGAGGAACACCAGUGGCGAAGGCGGCUUACUGGACUGUAACUGACGCUGAGGCGCGAAAGUGUGGGGAGCAAACAGGAUUAGAUACCCCAGUAGUCC